CCGGUCAUGUGACUCAAGUUUCAAGGGUCUGAUGCUUUCUUCUGACUUCUGUGGGUACCAGACAGGCACACGGUGCAUGGACAUACAUCGAAGGAAACUUUCAUAUGCCUAAAAUAAAUACGUCUGGGAAGAGAAUUUAAUUUUUAAAAAAGGAACAAAAUAAGUUUCUGCAACAGUGUCUCCCUUCCAGUCUUCCCUCUUCCUGCUCUGAGCAGAGCCAUGCUGUGGGGCUGUGGGAGCAGGAUGAGCAGACACCAGUUCAGACCUACACCGUCGUCUGGCAGUCUAAGAAUUCAUGGCCGAGGAGAAAGCAUGGUGAACCUGGCUUUAUCAUUGUCCAACAAUCUAAUAAGCAGCUCGCAUUGUCUAUAACAGCUUCAUUCAGAUAACAAUGUCCUGGCCACCUGAGAAAUCUCUAGAAUGUUAUUUAGCUGUGGGUUACCAUGGUGAUUAGCUUGUGAAAGAGUUCUCAGAGAUGCAUUCUCUCAAUGUACUCAUAAUUCUGAUGAGGAUGCUGCUUGUCCUGCCUAUGAUCCUAACGUGGCCCAAAGAUCUACUGGUGGUUCGUCCCAUUGGAAACCCCCUUGACACUCCACGGCCAACAAGUGCUUCAAGGGCACGUCAUAUGAGUGGGUUAGUACCGUUAGUACCGCAGAGCAGCUGAUCCUUUGUGAUGAGAGUGUGAUGCCAGCUAAAUCAGGUACCACUGGGGCCCAUCUACACCUUGUGACAUCAGAAUGUGGCUCUAUCCUGUCCUGUCUGGUUUAAGAUGCUUUAGGAAUAACAUUAUUUGGUAAACGAAUCCUAAAUCAAACAUUUUUGGAAGAUAAUCUUGGAUUAACUCAGAGUGAUGCCAAUCUGUGUUUUUCCACAUUGAUUCAUUUAGAGUAGCUUUUUUUUUUCUUUUUAAUUCCCAUAUUACUGAAUUGACAGACCUAUUUCCUCCUGGGUCCUAUCACAAACAAGUGAGUUGUCUUUGUGAUAAACACCAAUGAAAAGAGCAGACAUUUUUAAUUUCUAUUGUCAUCGAAAGGUGAUCCAAACUACAUUUUGAUGGCUGGGCUGAGCAGGAAUUUUUAAUUUCUAUUCUCAUCGAAAGGUGAUCCAAACUACAUUUUGAUGGCUGGGCUGAGCAUGACAGCUGAGUCGGAUUUCAUUCACUCAGAUGACUGAUUUUUCUCCUGGAAGUGGGACAGAACAGACCAAUCAGCAAGCACUUCAACUUCCUCAGGAAACAAGAGCAGGCAUCCUAUGACCUUGAAUAGCCACCUAAGACUCUGACUCAGCCCGGGGAAUCUGAGUGAUGUCAUGAUAAGUAGCCAGGGGACAGCCCUAAACACCUGGGUGCUCCACUCCAAGGAGUCCUGGCUUGCUCAGUUGUCAAUUGGGGCUUUGGAUAUAAAGUCGACUCUGUCUGCAAAUAUGUAAGGAACGCGUGGAAAGGAAUCUUUGGAAAGAGAAGGAGGCAGAGACUGAA